rnacentral:lncRNA from 1 species
UCAUAGGUAGAUAAUAAUAUGAUAAUCAGACAUUUUUUGGUCGAAAAAAAGGGGGGGUGGCAAUUUCAUUCAUCUGGUUUAUUAGUAGAAUUUGGGCAUCUUUUCAUAGUCUUACAAUUGGUUAUAUCUUUUGUGUAUUAAUAGUUUUAUUGUUAAGCAUAACAUACAUAUUUGAAGUGUUUUUUGUAAGGUGAAAUCAGCAUAAUCAAUACUACUGCAGUAGUAGAUUUUAAUGUCAUAUUAAUAGAUGGUGUUAAGAUAAUAAUGGAUUAAUUGAUUGGGGGUUGCUUAAUCUUCAAUAGCAUAUAUUACAAUUUAAAUACAUGACUUAUAAAAAUAUAAAAAUGAUGGAAAUUAUUAUUCACUGCAUAUAUUUUUACUUAUAUACAAAUAAUAUAUGGAUAUCAAAGUAAACAAAAAUGUUGGUAUUAAAAUAGUCUUUCAUAUUUCAGAAAAACAAACAAAUCUGCUGCUUAUUAAAAUUUGAACACAUCAACUGGUACGGAGACAUAUGUCUGAAUGUACGGUUGUAAUACUGGAUACCUUAAAUGUGGCAGUGAGUUUGACUAUAUUUUAUGUGUCUUAAUGAUUUUCUUUUCAAAUUAAUUCAACAAUAUAUAUUAUUAAAACUCCCUCCCAUGAAAAAAUUCUACUUAUUUUAAAUUUAUG